GAUGAACGCUAGCGACAGGCCUAACACAUGCAAGUCGAGGGGCAGCACAUGAGUAGCAAUACGAUGGUGGCGACCGGCGCACGGGUGAGUAACACGUAUGCAACCUACCUUCUACCAGGGGAUAACCCGUUGAAAGACGGACUAAUACCCUAUAAUACAGGGGCUCCGCAUGGAGAUAUUUGUUAAAGAUUCAUCAGUAGAAGAUGGGCAUGCGCAUGAUUAGCUAGUUGGCGGGGUAACGGCCCACCAAGGCAUAGAUCAUUAGGGGUUCUGAGAGGAAGGUCCCCCACACUGGUACUGAGACACGGACCAGAAUCCUACGGGAGGCAGCAGUGAGGAAUAUUGGUCAAUGGGCGAGAGCCUGAACCAGCCAAGUCGCGUGAAGGAAGACUGUCCUAUGGAUUGUAAACUUCUUUCGUACGGGAAUAAAGUGGGCUACGUGUAGCCUUUUGUAUGUACCGUACGAAUAAGGAUCGGCUAACUCCGUGCCAGCCGCCGCAGUAACAC
rnacentral:rRNA from 1 species